AGUCGGGGGCGGGACCGAGGGCCGCCGAGCGCAAGAGAAAAUCAUAUAAUGAAGGUGGAUGUAUCCAUUACCCAGCUUCCAUAUCAACUCAGGACAAGUCUUGUUUCAACCAUACUCCCUCAUCUACUGUGUGUGUCUGUAAAAGAUAAGAACUAUUUUCAAAAAGUAGCCACAAUACCAUUAUCAUACCUAAAAAAACAAUAAUUCUUUAAUAUCAUUAAAUGCCCAGUGAGUGAUUUCCAGUUAUCUCCUAAAAACAGAAAUUAUUUUUGUAAUAAGAAAAAAAAGGCUGAAAAAGAUAAAAUUGUCAAUCCAAAGAGCAGAUUAGUACAAGUUUCCUGGAGCUUUGUUUAGUGAUACUUAUCAAGAGCCUUAACAAUGUGCUUACCUUUUGCCCUAGUAAUCCCAACCUGUGAAUUUAUUCUAAGAAGAAAAAAGAACAUUGAAGAGGUAUACAAACAUUGUUCACUAGAGUGUGCAGUGUCUGUUACAGAGAAGUUGUUUGAAAACUAUUUGUUGAGGCCAGAUGUGGUGGCUUACAUCUGUAAUACUAGUACUUUGGGAGACUGAGGCAGGAGGAUUGCUUGAGGCCAGGAGUUCCAGACCAGCCUGAGCAACAUAGCAAUACCCCAUCUCUACAAAAACAUUUUUUAAAAAUUAGCCAGGCAUGGUGGCUCAUGCCCAUAAUUCUAACUACUUGGGAGGCCAAGACAGGAGGGUUGCUUGAACCUAGGAUUUCAAGGCUAUAGUGAGCUGUGAUCACAUCACUAAAACUCCAGCCUGGAUGACAGAGCAAGACCCUAUCUCAAAAGAAAAAAAAACAAACCACAAUUUUUUUUGAAUUUGAAGUUGAGCUCCUGCUGUGGUUUGCAGCUUUGUUUGUAAAAGAAAAGCUGAAAGUCAUGGAAGUGUGUGACAUUAGGGUACUGGCUAAAUAAAUGAGGGCAGAUCCAUAAAAUGAAACAUUGUUCUGUCAUGUAAAAUCAGAUUCUAAUAAUACACAUAGAUAACCACCGCUUCCAAGAGGCAGAACUUCAUCCUCAUCCUCUAAUGGACUAUGGAAAGAAGAAAAACAGUCCUUUUACAGUGAAGAAACUCAGCAGAUGCUCCCUCAACAUCGCUGGUGGUAAGUCUUGUGGCUACUGGGUACCCCCUGAUACAAUGACAGGGGCACCUCACCUCUGUGAUCUUUUACCCAAAAACUAAUAACCUCAGUCUCAUGAGAAAAACAUCAGACAAACUCAGAUGAGGGGCAUUCUACAAAAUACGUGAGCAGCACUCUUCGAAUGUGUCAAGGUCGUGAAAAACAAGAAAAGACUCAGAACUGUUAGGGACCAGAGGAGCCUCAGGAGAUGACGGAGACUGAAUGCCAUGUGGGAUGCCGGAUGAGAUCAUGGAACAGAAAAAGGGCAUUAGUGGGAAACUGGCGAAAUCCUAAUAGAGUCUGUCGUCCAGCUAAUAAUGUUUUACUAAUGUUAACUUUUUAGUUUUGACAAAUGUAGCAUGAU
ensembl:lncRNA novel transcript